rnacentral:rRNA from 1 species
UACGGAGGGGGCGAGCGUUAUUCGGAAUUAUUGGGCGUAAAGGGCGCGUAGGCGGCGCGAUAAGUCAAAGGUGAAAUCCCUCGGCUCAACUGAGGAACUGCCUUUGAGACUGUCGAGCUCGAGGCCGGGAGGGGGUAGCGGAAUUCCCAGUGUGGCGGUGAAAUGCGUAGAUAUUGGGAGGAACACCAGUGGCGAAGGCGGCUACCUGGACCGGUUCUGACGCUGAUGCGCGAAAGCGUGGGUAGCAAACAGG